rnacentral:rRNA from 1 species
AACGAACGCUGGCGGCAUGCCUAACACAUGCAAGUCGAACGAGACCUUCGGGUCUAGUGGCGCACGGGUGCGUAACGCGUGGGAACCUGCCUUUAGGUUCGGAAUAACUCAGAGAAAUUUGAGCUAAUACCGGAUGAUGUCUUCGGACCAAAGAUUUAUCGCCUUUGGAUGGGCCCGCGUUGGAUUAGCUAGUUGGUGGGGUAAAGGCCUACCAAGGCGACGAUCCAUAGCUGGUCUGAGAGGAUGAUCAGCCACACUGGGACUGAGACACGGCCCAGACUCCUACGGGAGGCAGCAGUGGGGAAUAUUGGACAAUGGGCGAAAGCCUGAUCCAGCAAUGCCGCGUGAGUGAUGAAGGCGUUAGGGUUGUAAAGCUGUUUUACCCGAGAUGAUAAUGACAGUAUCGGGUGAAUAAGCUCCGGCUAACUCCGUG